rnacentral:lncRNA from 1 species
GUAGGCAAACGCCAUCCUUAAGAUGUUGUCAGGCCCUGCGUGGUAGGCAAUUGUCGACACUUAGACCUUGUCAGGCCCUUCGUGGUAGGCAAGUGUCAUCCUUAAGACAUUGUCAGGCCCUGCGUGGUAGGCAAUUGUCGACACUUAGACCUUGUCAGGCCCUUCGUGGUAGGCAAGUGUCAUCCUUAAGACAUUGUCAGGCCCUGCGUGGUAGGCAAUUGUCGACACUUAGACCUUGUCAGGCCCUUCGUGGUAGGCAAGUGUCAUCCUUAGACUUUGUCAGGCCCUUCGUGGUAGGCAAAUGUCAUCUCUUGGUUUUGUUAGGCCUUUCGGGGUAAACAAAUUCCUAAUGAAGCAGAUCUGUCUCACACUUCGGUAACUAAUGAGUAUCCCUUUACUUUAUUACCUAAA